ensembl:lncRNA
GUCAGGGCACACGAGCCUGUGUGAAACCCUUUUUUUUUUCUUGUUUUCUUUUUCUUUUCUUUUUUAAAAAGAAGAAACCAUGAUCUCAUGAAAUCGUUUUGAGAAUAAAACAACUAACUGCGCAUGCUCCACAAAUAUAAGAUAACACAUAGACGUGAAUAUUUAAUUGUGGCAAAGAGGAUUAGUCUGGUUUAAUACCUGCGUGAAGUUGGCCCCCCCACCAACGCAAAACGUCAGCAAAAUAUUCUCAAUCGUUUGUGCUUCGUUUGUGCUUCGUUUGUGCUGGUUUGUGCCGUAAAAAAUUUCAUUUGUGCUGCUUCGGUUUAGGAGAUAUUAAAAGAAUAUUUAUAGGUCAUUCUGGGGUCACUCAGCCCCCCCACAUGCUCCAAAUAAGCUCAAUCGUUUGUGCUGCUUCGGGUUUGGAGAUAUUAAAAGAAUCAUUCUGGGGUCACCCCCCACGCUCCAAGUUCAUUCAAAAUAGUCUCAAUCGUUUUGUGCUGCUUCCGUUUAUAAAAUAUUAGACAUUGACUUAUAGGCACAAAUCUCCAUGGUGUGAGUACCCUUUCAGAGUCGAACUGCCUAAGACUUUUUGUGCUGUGUGUGUUUGCAUAAUUCGGACUUUCUGCAGACUGUCACACUGUUGUUUCAAUAAAGUUUAUUUACUUUUUGACAUCUACUAAACUCUCUGUCUCUGAAGUUUUUGACUUAGGCUAAAAAGGUUGAUUUAUCCGCGUGUGUGUGUUUUGGGUGCACGGUGGCUUAGGGGUUAGCAUGUUUGCCUCACACCUCCGGCACUCCGGUUUCCUCCCCCAGGCCAAAGACAUGCAUGGUAGGAGGAUUGGCGUUUCCAAAGUGUCUGUAGCGUAUGAAUCACUGCACCUGGGGGCCAUCUUCAGUCGUCUUGACUCAGUCUUGCCACUGGGUCACCUGGAAGUGAGAGUGAGGCCGAUGCUGCGCAAGCCUUCCUCACUAUAAUCCAAUUCACGCCCAAGUCGAGUCCCCAUAUGUUCUCCAUAAUGGAGGCGGAAAUGGAAACUUCAGUCUUUCUCGAAAUCGACGGACAAACUCCUGUAGACGUGGCACUUUAUUAGGAACAUCUGUACAGCUACACAGUCAAGCCGUUAUCAUCAUGCAGAGUCGGGUCAAGAGCUUCAGCUAAUGUUCACAUCAAACAUCAGAAUGAAAAAGUGUGAUCUCUGUGACUUUGAGUGUGGCAUGAUUGUUGGUGCCAGGUGGGCUGGUUUAAGUAUUUCAGAAACUGCUGAUUUCCUGGGAUUUUCAGACACAAGGGUUUACACAGAAUUGUGCAAAAAAAACAAAAAAAAAAACACGAAAUGAGCGACAAUUCUGAAACGCUUUGUUGAUGAGCGGUCAGAGGAAAAUGGCCAGAUUGGUUCAAUCUGCCAGGAAGGAUAUAGUAACUCAAAUGACAUGCAAGCACUGGACAACAUGCAAACUAACCAAUGCACAGUACACUACAAUUUUCAUCAGGCUGUUUGGCCUCAAAUGGAGAGAGAUACAGGUCAAGGGGCAAAUGCUGGGAACAUUAAUGCAGACAAAAUGUGAGCACCAUGCCCACUGGAUGGGACAAAAAUUUGGGGUGCAUUUGUGCAGCCUGCCCUAUUCAAAGGGAUUGGGACAAAGUAAAUGGUCUGCACUUACAUAGUGCUUUUAUCCAAAGCACUUUACACUGGUUCUCAUUCACACACACACACACACACACACUCACACAACAAUGGUAGCAUGGCUGCCAUGCAAGGCACUAGCUUGCCAUCGGGAGUAAUUUGGGUGGGCCAACGUGGGCCGGGAACCAAACCACCAACCCUACGAUUAGCGGACAACCCGUUCUACCACCUGAGCCAUAGCUGCCCCUCACGCCAAACAAAGAAAACACAAAUCUGUGGAUAACGUUGGGGACAGACUAAUCAAACUGUUCAAAGAUAACAGUGGAAUUGAACCAUGAGGACAGCAGGAAUAACAUUAUUCACCUGAAGAUUGCCUAAGACCUGCUGCCAAACACUGCGAGAUGGUGAAACAAAGGCUGGAAUAAAGCCUUACACUGGACUGGUGGAUCAUGCUAAACAUGCCGAGAAGUGCCUGAGUGACAAGACCAAGAAGGAAGCAUGCGAAGAGCACAACUGAUGUUUUAAUUCAAUUCAGUUCAAUUUUAUUUGUAUAGCAGUGGACAAUUUCAUUUGUUUUAACAGUGGGCAUUGUCACAACGCAGCUUUACCGAAAUAUAUAAAUUGCAAAUAUAAAUGAGCAAGCCAGAGGUGACAGUGGCAAGGAAAAACUCCCUGAGACGAUGUAAGGAAGAAACUUUGAGAGGAGCCAGACUCACAAGGGAACCAUCCUCAACUGUGUGACACUGGAUAGUGCGAUUGUACAGUAAAUAAUUUCCCUUCGAUAUCCAUGUACUAUACGGUCAAAAAGAGCAAUUGUAUAACGAGGAACUAAUGAGCUUGUAAGCAACUUAUGAUUAUAAGUAUCAGUUAUUUGUGAAGUCAUGAUAGUUUUAAUAUGAAUGAUAUUUUAUUGAAG